CCUGAUCUCUGCUCCCUAUUCCCCUCUCUCUCUCUCUCUCUCUCUCUCUCUCUCUCGAUCUUCGUCCCGAUCUCCUUUCCCUUUCUCUCAUUCUCCUUCAUCUCUCUUCAAUGCAUCUCUGACAUCUCUUCUAUCUCCCUCACAUCAUCUUUUGCUCAAACCUCCAUUGUAGUAGCCACGAAGCUCCUACCCGAAGCAAACACACACCUUUCGAAAGCCCCUUUUCACAUUUUUUAGGCAUCUCUUAAAAUCGAAGAAAUCUGAAGCUCCUCUCCAUAGGUCUUGUUGCUGGUGACAUGUUCCACUGGCAAGCAACAAUUAUGGGACCAACAGAUAGCCCCUUUGCAGGGAUCCAAUAUUAGACAUAUGGGACCAAAAGGCUAUGAUGAUUAUGAUGAUGGUGACAAUGAGUGAAUUUAC